AAGGCUUUAGCUUAAUUAAAGUGUCUGAUUUGCAUUCGGAAGAUGUGGGAUAAAGUCCCGCAAGUCUUA
rnacentral:tRNA from 1 species